CAGUCGACGAGUUCUGAUUAUUGAAGGUGCUUGCAUCUUGAUUUAAAUUUUGAACGAGUGGCGGACGGGUGAGUAACACGUGGGUAACCUGCCCUUAAGUGGGGGAUAACAUUUGGAAACAGAUGCUAAUACCGCAUAAAUCCAAGAACCGCAUGGUUCUUGGCUGAAAGAUGGCGUAAGCUAUCGCUUUUGGAUGGACCCGCGGCGUAUUAGCUAGUUGGUGAGGUAACGGCUCACCAAGGCAAUGAUACGUAGCCGAACUGAGAGGUUGAUCGGCCACAUUGGGACUGAGACACGGCCCAAACUCCUACGGGAGGCAGCAGUAGGGAAUCUUCCACAAUGGACGCAAGUCUGAUGGAGCAACGCCGCGUGAGUGAAGAAGGCUUUCGGGUCGUAAAACUCUGUUGUUGGAGAAGAAUGGUCGGCAGAGUAACUGUUGUCGGCGUGACGGUAUCCAACCAGAAAGCCACGGCUAACUACGUGCCAGCAGCCGCGGUAAUACGUAGGUGGCAAGCGUUAUCCGGAUUUAUUGGGCGUAAAGCGAGCGCAGGCGGUUUUUUAAGUCUGAUGUGAAAGCCCUCGGCUUAACCGAGGAAGUGCAUCGGAAACUGGGAAACUUGAGUGCAGAAGAGGACAGUGGAACUCCAUGUGUAGCGGUGAAAUGCGUAGAUAUAUGGAAGAACACCAGUGGCGAAGGCGGCUGUCUGGUCUGUAACUGACGCUGAGGCUCGAAAGCAUGGGUAGCGAACAGGAUUAGAUACCCUGGUAGUCCAUGCCGUAAACGAUGAAUGCUAGGUGUUGGAGGGUUUCCGCCCUUCAGUGCCGCAGCUAACGCAUUAAGCAUUCCGCCUGGGGAGUACGACCGCAAGGUUGAAACUCAAAGGAAUUGACGGGGGCCCGCACAAGCGGUGGAGCAUGUGGUUUAAUUCGAAGCAACGCGAAGAACCUUACCAGGUCUUGACAUCUUUUGAUCACCUGAGAGAUCAGGUUUCCCCUUCGGGGGCAAAAUGACAGGUGGUGCAUGGUUGUCGUCAGCUCGUGUCGUGAGAUGUUGGGUUAAGUCCCGCAACGAGCGCAACCCUUAUGACUAGUUGCCAGCAUUUAGUUGGGCACUCUAGUAAGACUGCCGGUGACAAACCGGAGGAAGGUGGGGAUGACGUCAAAUCAUCAUGCCCCUUAUGACCUGGGCUACACACGUGCUACAAUGGAUGGUACAACGAGUUGCGAGACCGCGAGGUCAAGCUAAUCUCUUAAAGCCAUUCUCAGUUCGGACUGUAGGCUGCAACUCGCCUACACGAAGUCGGAAUCGCUAGUAAUCGCGGAUCAGCACGCCGCGGUGAAUACGUUCCCGGGCCUUGUACACACCGCCCGUCACACCAUGAGAGUUUGUAACACCCGAAGCCGGUGGCGUAACCCUUUAGGAGCGAGCCGUCUAA
rnacentral:rRNA from 1 species